UACGGAGGGUGCAAACGUUGCUCGGAAUCAUUGGGCGUAAAGCGCACGUAGGCGGUUGCGUAAGUCGGAUGUGAAAGCCCUAGGCUUAACCAAGGAAGUGCAUUCGAAACUACGUAACUUGAGUACGGGAGAGGGCUGUGGAAUUCCCGGUGUAGAGGUGCAAUUCGUAGAUAUCGGGAGGAACACCAGUGGCGAAGGCGACAGCCUGGACCGAUACUGACGCUGAGGUGCGAAAGCGUGGGGAGCAAACGGG
rnacentral:misc_RNA from 1 species